UUGAAUAAACCCAUAAAUUUGCUAGAAGAGAAGACGGCCGGGUAAAGGGACGCAGACGCCGGUCGCUCGGCGUUUCAUCCACUCUAAACAUCGAUGAUAUCUCUGUCGAGGGAUCAAUCUCUCGUUUCAAUACACGCUCCGAUGAUCUGACACAAAAUCCGUAGAAAAAUUUGAUUAGAUUACCAGAAUGACCACUGCUUUGCUACAUCGACCCAUUAGGGCUAAUGGUGUGAGCUGGGGAUUUGCUGAGGAUUCCGGAACUUGUAAUGUGUUUUGGAAAUUUGACGUGAGAUUCUUUUCAAAGCGAUUAAGGGUCAACUUAGGGUUGUUGAGACAAAAAGCUCUUACCUCAAGCCAGUUCAAGGCAUUACCAAAUCAUUGUCUAGCUGUAGACCCAAUUUUGUCCUCACAGGCUGCCAAUGAUCCUGGGAAGAUUUCAAAUGAAUCUACACUGAUCUUGAUUAGACAUGGUGAGUCAUUUUGGAAUCAGCAAAACCUGUUCUCUGGUUGUGUCGAUGUGCCAUUGACUGAGAAAGGCAUAGAAGAAGCAAUUGAAGCUGGAAAAAGAAUUAGCAAUUUACCUAUUGACAUUAUUUUCACAUCUGCACUGGUUCGUGCUCAAAUGACUGCUAUGCUGGCCCUCACCCAGCACCACUGCAAGAAGGUUCCAAUUAUAGUGCACAAUGAGAGUGAACAGGCCAAAGUAUGGAGUAAAAUUCAUAGUGACAAUACCAAGAAGGAAACAAUUCCAGUUGUGAAAGCUUGGCAAUUGAAUGAAAGAAUGUAUGGGGAGUUACAGGGCCUUAAUAAGCAAGAAACAGCUGGAAGGUAUGGAAAAGAGCAAGUUCAUGAAUGGCGUAGAAGUUAUGGUACUUGUCCCCCAAAUGGGGAAAGUUUGGAAAUUUGUUCUCGAAGAGCUGUUGUUUAUUUCAAAGAGCAUAUUGAACCCCAACUUUUCUCAGGAAAGCAUGUGAUGGUUUCUGCCCAUGCAAAUUCACUGAGAGCCAUUAUUAUGCAUCUUGAUCAAUUAACAUCUCAAGAGGUUAUUAGCUUAGAGCUAUCAAAUGCAAUACCAAUGCUCUACUUAUUUAAAGAGGGAAGAUUUAUGAGGAGAGGAAGUCCUUUAGGAUCAACAGAGGCUGGUGUAUAUGCUUAUUCCUCGAAUUUGGCAGUUUAUAGAGAAAAGUUGGAGGAAAUGUCCAUUGAAGCAUCAAAAGAAGAGGACUAAAGAAUAAUCAGAAAGCAUCAUGCAUCAUGAUUCAGAGAAGUUGCAAGGAUAAAGGUAUAUGUAAGCAUAAUCAAGGCAUACUUUCAAGAGUAGGAUCUGAUCUCACUAGUCAGUGAGGGCCCACCCCUGCUUCUUUGUAUGGAGGGUAUAGUCAUGCAUGAAGGCAGGCAGCUUGUAACUUUUCUGGUGAAAGGCAUAUGAGAAGUUGAUAUUAUGUGUUGCACAAUGUGUACAUUCAGCAGUGCAACUCAUGGAAUGGUGCAAGUAUCAUUGUUGUUAUUUGUGUAGCACGUUGUGAUGCACAAUAGCGUCCAUAGAUGCAUCUAAUGUGCACAUAAAACACCAGACAGUCUAUGUAUUUCAUUGCUUUGUUUUCAACUAAGAAAGAACCUGUGUAUCUAAUACAUGCAAGGAGGCUGUUCUGAACUUCUCGUUCACUACCUCCACCCAAAAAGACAGGGGGAGAGAGCUGGUCAACACAUUUUUAUCUGUAGAUCCAAUUAGAAGUCAUGGAAGAUCAACUGUAUGAAAAUGCUUUUGUGAGGCAAGGCUAGGUACUCUAAGUAACUUCAAUAUACAUUACAUGACCACGGAACCUUGGGCUUUGA